CCCAACCACUGAAAUCGAAGUUGGGUUGAUGUUUAUCAGAUUGAUACAGAGGAAUUAACGAUGUUGACAUGCCCAAUAGCCACUGCACCCACUUCGUCUUUCCUCUUUGCCGGCUGUUAGGUGAUGGAAUAUACAAGUGGGUGACAUGGAUUGCACAACUGGGAGACAACGCGUAUCUAACUUAAAAAGCCUUUUCUUUUUACUGUCAUUCCUUCUUUAAAUACUAUAAAUGCACACAUAUGUAUGCGUAUAAUGUAAUGGAUAGAAUGAAUUUAUUUAACGUGAAUAGAUCAAAUGGUUCCAUUUGAAUGAUAUUUGUUUGUGAGAUUUUAAUUCCCUUUGAAA